AUGUUAAAUAAGCCGGGGGACAAGCCGGGGGGUAAGGUUCAUCUAUUGCACUUUGGAUGUGCUGAUCCCCGUGAUUUCCCCAAAUGUGGGAAAAUCAGCUGCCUAAUUUGUGGUAGUGGGGGACUGCAUUUGUGGUUUCUCCUG
rnacentral:snRNA from 1 species